AUGGAAAUGCUUAAUGAAUUCAACCCUCUUGUGCAGACAGCAGGUCGGCUUCCUCUCGCCGCUCUGAACUGCAGGACUCGCUGGAUGGAUGUGAAUGUGAGCAACCAAACUAUCAGGUGAGAAUAGCUUCGUGUGGCUCUUUAUUUUUUGAGCUGGUCAAGUGAUUCUAGGAGACUCAUAUUCUGUUUCAUUACUUUUUUAUCUGUGAUGUCUGGACUUUCUUUGAGGCUCAUAUUCUUUUUUUUAUUGUUCACAAGAUAGGUUAGAUUUUUGUGGCAAUAUCACUAUGAGGAAGCCGACAACCUGGAUUGCCAAUUACCUCCGCAGGGUGCCCCAUUUUUUGAUGUCAUGAUUAUCCGCGUUCGAGAACCGGUGGAUCAUUUUGUAACUUAUGCAGGUUAUGUGCACAUUGAGAGUUUCUUCUGCUCGAGGCAGCCGUCGUCCACAUGCUCCUCCUAAAGUUCCUCCUUGUCACCACGAGUGGAUGCCGGUGAGGCCAGCCUUCCCGGACUG
rnacentral:lncRNA from 1 species